CCUACGGGUGGCAGCAGUGGGGAAUAUUGCACAAUGGGGGAAACCCUGAUGCAGCAACGCCGCGUGAGCGAUGAAGGCCUUCGGGUCGUAAAGCUCUGUCCUAAGGGAAGAAUACUGACGGUACCUUAGGAGGAAGCCCCGGCUAACUACGUGCCAGCAGCCGCGGUAAUACGUAGGGGGCUAGCGUCAUCCGGAAUUACUGGGCGUAAAGGGUGCGUAGGCGGACCUUCAUGUCAGAUGUGAAAGUCUACGGCUCAACCGUAGUAAGCGUAUGAAACUGUAGGUCUUGAGUGUAGGUGAGGAGAGUGGAAUUCCCAGUGUAGCGGUGAAGUUCGUAGAUAUUGCGAGGAACACCAGUUGCGAAGGCGGCUCUCUGGACUGUAACUGACGCUGAGGCACGAAAGCGUGGGGAGCGAGCUGGAUUAGAAACCCUUGUAGUC
rnacentral:rRNA from 1 species